AUGGCAAAAAAAUAUGAGGGACCUGCUAUAGGAAUUGAUCUUGGCACAACCUAUUCAUGUGUUGCUGUAUGGAAUGAUCAAAACAAUAGAGCAGAGAUCAUACACAAUGAUCAAGGAAACAAAACCACUCCUUCUUUUGUUGCUUUUACGAAUGAUCAAAGGUUGAUUGGCGAAGCUGCUAAAAAUCAAGCUGCUUCAAACCCAACAAACACUGUUUUUGAUGCAAAGAGAUUGAUUGGAAGGAAAUAUAAUGAUUCAGUUAUUACAAUAACAAAUGAGAAUAUGGAAGAUUGUCGAGGGAAGAAAUUGAGAGAAUGA